UCUAGUUGCCAGAAAAAAUAUGGCCCCCCACUAAAAGAGAGACCGCCGGCGUUAAGCCGGAGAAAGGUGGGGAUGACGUCAAGUCCUCAUGGCCUUUAUGACUAGGGCUGCACACGUCCUACAAUGCUGCGCACAAAGGGAAGCAAACCCGCGAGGGCAAGCAAAUCCCAAAAAACGCAGCUCAGUUCGGAUUGCAGGCUGCAACUCGCCUGCAUGAAGCUGGAAUCGCUAGUAAUCGUAGGUCAGCAUACUACGGUGAAUAUGUUCCUGAGCCUUGUACACACCGCCCGUCAAGCCACGAAAGUGGGGGGGGCUUAAAGUCACUGCGCUAACCGUAAGGAAGCAGGUGCCUAGAGUCAACUCCGCGAUUGGGACUAAGAGGUCGUUAACCA
rnacentral:rRNA from 1 species